rnacentral:tRNA from 3 species
AGGGCUGUAGGUAAGUGGUAUACCAGGCGUCUCCAAAACGCUAAUCGGGGGUUCGAUUCCCUCCAGCCCUG